UACGAGGGGGGCGAGCGUUGUUCGGAAUUAUUGGGCGUAAAGGGUGCGUAGGCGGUUUGGUAAGUCUUAUGUGAAAUCUACAGGCUCAACUUGUAGUCUGCAUGAGAAACUGCCGGGCUUGAGUAUGGGAGAGGUGAGUGGAAUUCCCGGUGUAGCGGUGAAAUGCGUAGAGAUCGGGAGGAACACCAGCGGCGAAGGCGGCAAACUGGAUAGGCACUGACACUCAACAACGAAAGCGUGGGGAGCAAACAGG
rnacentral:rRNA from 1 species